AUGAACGCUAGCUACAGGCUUAACACAUGCAAGUCGAGGGGCAGCAUGGUCUUAGCUUGACUAAGACUGAUGGCGACCGGCGCACGGGUGAGUAACACGUAUCCAACCUGCCGUCUACUCUUGGACAGCCUUCUGAAAGGAAGAUUAAUACAAGAUGGCAUCAUGAGUCCGCAUGUUCACAUGAUUAAAGGUAUUCCGGUAGACGAUGGGGAUGCGUUCCAUUAGAUAGUAGGCGGGGUAACGGCCCACCUAGUCUUCGAUGGAUAGGGGUUCUGAGAGGAAGGUCCCCCACAUUGGAACUGAGACACGGUCCAAACUCCUACGGGAGGCAGCAGUGAGGAAUAUUGGUCAAUGGGCGAGAGCCUGAACCAGCCAAGUAGCGUGAAGGAUGACUGCCCUAUGGGUUGUAAACUUCUUUUAUAAAGGAAUAAAGUCGGGUAUGCAUACCCGUUUGCAUGUACUUUAUGAAUAAGGAUCGGCUAACUCCGUG
rnacentral:rRNA from 1 species